GACGAACCGUGCUAACGUUGUUCGGAUUCACUGGGCUUAAAGGGCGCGUAGGCGGAUGACCAAGUCAGGGGUGAAAUCCUUCGGCUUAACCGGAGAACAGCCUUUGAUACUGGUCGUCUGGAGUGAGGUAGGGGCAUGCGGAACUUCCGGUGGAGCGGUGAAAUGCGUAGAUAUCGGAAGGAACACCGGUGGCGAAGGCGGCGUGCUGGACCUCAACUGACGCUGAGGCGCGAAAGCCAGGGGAGCAAACGGG
rnacentral:rRNA from 1 species